AAGUCGUAACAAGGUUUCCGUAGGUGAACCUGCGGAAGGAUCAUUAAAAAAUCGUUUGAGCCGCAAGGCUCUGUUAUUUUGUGCACCGCGUAGCUGCUGGCUUCGGCCGGCGGCUAUAUCUAAACAUGUACGCCUGAUGCUACGAGGAAGAUAUAUAAUACAUAUACAACUUUCAACAGUGGAUCUCUCGGCUCUU
rnacentral:misc_RNA from 1 species